UACGAAGGGGGCUAGCGUUGCUCGGAAUCACUGGGCGUAAAGCGCACGUAGGCGGAUUGCUAAGUCAGGGGUGAAAUCCUGGAGCUCAACUCCAGAACUGCCUUUGAUACUGGCGACCUUGAGUCCGGGAGAGGUGAGUGGAACUGCGAGUGUAGAGGUGAAAUUCGUAGAUAUCGGGAGGAACACCAGUGGCGAAGGCGGCUCUCUGGACAGAUACUGACACUGAGACGCGAAAGCGUGGGGAGCAAACAGG
rnacentral:rRNA from 1 species